rnacentral:ribozyme from 12 species
AAAGUUGCACACAAUAAAUCACAGUAACAAAUAAUAUGACAACGUUGAAACUCCAAAUCUCAAAUAUGUAUGAUGCUAGCUUUAGUAAGCUUUGAUGUUGGUAUGUUUCAUUUUCUUUUGUAAAGCUCCUUUUGCAAAUUAUCUGACAACUGGCAGA